rnacentral:rRNA from 1 species
UACGUAGGUCCCGAGCGUUAUCCGGAUUUAUUGGGCGUAAAGCGAGCGCAGGCGGUUAGAUAAGUCUGAAGUUAAAGGCUGUGGCUUAACCAUAGUACGCUUUGGAAACUGUUUAACUUGAGUGCAGAAGGGGAGAGUGGAAUUCCAUGUGUAGCGGUGAAAUGCGUAGAUAUAUGGAGGAACACCGGUGGCGAAAGCGGCUCUCUGGUCUGUAACUGACGCUGAGGCUCGAAAGCGUGGGGAGCAAACAGGAUUAGA